rnacentral:rRNA from 1 species
UGGGGAAUUUUGGACAAUGGGGGAAACCCUGAUCCAGCCAUCCCGCGUGUGCGAUGAAGGCCUUCGGGUUGUAAAGCACUUUUGGCAGGAAAGAAACGUCGCGGGUUAAUACCCCGCGGAACUGACGGUACCUGCAGAAUAAGCACCGGCUAACUACGUGCCAGCAGCCGCGGUAAUACGUAGGGUGCAAGCGUUAAUCGGAAUUACUGGGCGUAAAGCGUGCGCAGGCGGUUCGGAAAGAAAGAUGUGAAAUCCCAGAGCUUAACUUUGGAACUGCAUUUUUAACUACCGGGCUAGAGUGUGUCAGAGGGAGGUGGAAUUCCGCGUGUAGCAGUGAAAUGCGUAGAUAUGCGGAGGAACACCGAUGGCGAAGGCAGCCUCCUGGGAUAACACUGACGCUCAUGCACGAAAGCGUGGGGAGCAAACAGGAUUAGAUACCCUGGUAGUCCACGCCCUAAACGAUGUCAACUAGCUGUUGGGGUCUUCGGACCUUGGUAGCGCAGCUAACGCGUGAAGUUGACCGCCUGGGGAGU